AUUGAACAAAACCAUAACACUGCUCACGCCUUUUGUCUCGCUCUACGUUUCUAUCCUGGUUCACGCCGCCAUCACCGAUUCACCACCAUGACAAGCACCAUUCCAGAAAAGAAAAAAAGAAAGAAAACUCACAUCUCAAUAAUUCCAACAAUACCAAAAUUAUGCUCUUUAGAGAAAAUCAAUUUCUUAAUUUCGGUUCCUUGAUAUUGUUCAGUACAAAGAUUUUUAGAGAUAGUUAAAAUUUUAAAUGGCGAUCUUUCCACGGAAGAGCCAAAGACUUGUACCGAUGACAGCUGAGUUUUUUUUCAUUUCUGAAGUUUUUUUUUAAUGCUGAGAUUAUAUUUGGAUCUAGAUUCUGAUUCGUCCUAUGAUGUUUAAAGGUUGGCGACGGAAAGGAAACUGCUAGUGGGUUGACCUUACCAUGUUCUUAUUCUAUUGAGGGAUCCUCCUAAUUUAUUUUCCAGACAACCAUCAAUGAGAACAAAGUUGUUCAUGGAUGUCGUGAACUUCAACAAUUUUAUCAGGAGUUCGAAGUUACCUGAAAGCAUGCAAGUUAUAUGUAAUGAGAUGAGCUAAGAUUAGUGACUACUGCUUGUGCCCCUAAAUUUGUCUCCCUUUUCCAUGUUACGAUUGUCUGCGCUUUUUGAUGGUUCUCAUAUCCUGGAUAGAUGACUUGAAAACACAAUAUCCAUAUUGUUGUCAACCAAAAGGUUAUGUCCAAUGCAGAUGUGGGUUUCCACAUUGAAGAUGUGGCAAAUGAAUUGCACAUGGUGGAGAGCUAAUAUAGCGAUUGCUCAUAUAUCUCUUGGUGCAGGAUAUAUGUGACACUUUGUCCAAACCAAAUCUGUUAAGCAAUAUGUUAGCUAUUUUAUGCAUCAGAUCUUUAAGGUACAAUAGUCAUAGUGAUUAAGGUUAUCAAUUCUAUCCCCCUCACUCAUUUAUCUAUUGAUUCGGUAAUGUUUUUCAUAGCACAGUUACUAAGGAUGCCCCAUCGCGUCUCUAUGUAUUCAAAUUUUGGACAGUCAUUCCUCCUGCUUUUCAAAGGAAGCCACCUACAGGCUACAACUGAAGAAGGUUUCUGUCACGUGUUUGCCGUGCUGCCACUUGAUGUACUCAUGUAAUUUAUUUAUAUUGUGUGUAGUCGUUCUAUAAUGAUUUUUUAUUCUUCCCUCUUUACGUGUACGUGUAAUCGUUCCAUGUCUUCCAUAUAAUAAUUUUUUUUUUUU